CUGUUUAGCGAGUAAACCUUUCGAUUUAAUAAGAAAUAUUUGAAAUCAUGUAUAAAAGGUGGAGAGAAAAUUUCCCAUCAAGAAGUUCAGGUUGAAAUGAUCCCGCGGCAAUAUAGAAUAAAUUAAAAAAGAGUACAUUUGUAGUGGAUUUGACUUUGAAACGUUGUGGGCUUUGAAGUUCCAGAGUUUAUAUGGAUCAAAUUAGAUUCCUCUCAGUUUUGUUUUCUGAAAUACCAAGGGCUGCAAAUUUGAGAUGAAAUAAAUCUAGAAUAGUGUCCGGAUAUUUCAAGUCAGUUUUGCAUCGCCAGCUACUUCAAAUUUUAUUGAUAAAUAAAUUCUAGCCAAUGCUCUGACAUCCGGUCAAGCAUUUAUCACAAUACUUCUAAACAACUGCAUGAAUUUCAGUAUAUACUUUGAAAAUCUAAAGAUCCUGAAAAGAAAAUUAACAAAAAUCUACCCUCAAUUCCUGCUACAAGAGGCCAGUAUGAGUAUUAAACUCAGGUCUCUGAUGGAGGGAACCAAGUAUUAGGAUGAACUAGAAGUAGGGACUGUGAUAUAGUUUUAAUAAUACUGCCCAUCACAGCCUCAUCUAAAUAACAAGAACUAAAAAUUGGCACAUGUAUAUAUCCUAUCCAAAUUAAAAAUGAGAAACCAAAAAAACCAACAGUUACCUUUAAUGGCACAUGAAAGAUCUAUACACAAUAGUAUGUACAUGAACAUCGGGAUUGAAAAUGAUGAAGAUGAUAUACGAACUUACCGACAGCGACCUGAAUCACUGAUGAUCGAUUGCGGAUGCAGCGUUCUCCAUCUAUCCUCCCAUCUCCAUGGUACCCCUUGGGGCAAGAACAUGUAUAAUUCCCUUCGGUGUCGAUGCAUGUGUGGCUGCAAUUGUGGGCUACUUUUGGAUCUGAACAUUCAUUAAUGUCUGCAGAAGCAUCAUAAAGAGAAGCCUUUACGUAAAAGUAUAGUAAAUUCUCAUAAUUUCAAGUAAUCCAAUCUCGAAAAUCAGAUUAGAGAUCUCCUCGAAAUCAAUUACAAAUAAUUUAACUUUCUCUUUAUGUAAGUAAAAAAUUAUAAAAAAAAGGGAUAAAAUUAAGAAAAAGAAAUGCAUACUUUGGCAACCAUUUGGGAGGUAUGGAUUUCCUUGAUAGCCAUCUAAGCAUUUGCAAAUGUACCCAGACCCAUUUUCAGGGUCAUGACAUUUGCUCUGUCCUUGACAUGCAUUAGACAUCUUGUUCUUUUCCAAGGUUUCGCAGUUAUUGCGCCCAAUACUCCAAUCCACUAUAAUAGGAACCUUACUUGCUCCAAAUCCGACAGGUUACUUGGAAAAAAGCUGAACCGCUUUUCUUCAAUCAUGAAGGCAAAGCUGCAAGGAUUGAAUUCCCAGAUUCCCGUAUGAUUAUUGUAACUAGACAAGCUCACGUCGAAGUACUUAAUUCCUUUGGCAAGGGAGGUUUGGCAGCAACCAAUUCCGGAGCAUGUGUUUGGUACAUAUUUUUUGUUGCUACAUUUGGAAAGGCAUCCUACCAGGUAUGUAUCAUUCUUGUCUUCUCGCCUACCUAGCAUUGCAGCUAAAGUAUCACAGCCGAUAGCGACGAACACAUUGUCAGUGUCAGAAAAAACGUACGGACCUUGGACGGGUAGGUUUAUCCAGGGUCUGUUUCUCCUUGUUCGUGCACCUGCCCGAUUAUAGCAGUCCUUAGCUAUAUAUUGCAUGAGGCGUAGCUUCCCAUCAAGGGUUAUUUCUGUGACACUCAAGUUAGUAUUUCCUAUAAACGCUUUUGGAGGAUUGAAAGUAUGGUUGCAAGUUAUGAGGAACUGAGGGUCGUAGUAGCAAUCUUCUCCCGUGCCGAAUGGAUAUGGGAUACUAACAUUCCCACAUCUAUCUUCUUGGCAUCCAGGCUUCGCUAUAGGAAGCUGUGUUGCUGCUGUAACUGCUGCUAACAACACUCCUGUUAUUGUGAACUGGAAGGCCAUUCCUCGAAUUCUCAUGACAGCUACUUUUCUGUUUAAUUAGAAUGGAGUCGGGUGGUGCAAAACUCACUGUGGCAGCUAGCCUUUUUUAUAAAGCAAAGUACCACGAUAUUGGUCGAUGGAAGACCAAAUUAUUAGCAUUUUUUAUAAAGCAAAUAAAUGGAAAUUGUGAAAAUAAAAAGAUAGGAACUCGUGAUCAUUUGAUUAUCAAGAUUUUGAUAUCAUAUCAAAGAACGAUCUCAAUUCAAUAACUUAAGAUGUUAAUUAAAGUUUUAAAAUAUAAUAUAUAUUAUUCUUGAACAUAAAAGAGCGUGUGGUAGUGGACUUGCAAGCAAGAACUUACUAGAAUUAAAGCUUUUUAAUUCUAUCAAGUUUUUGUAUUUUAAAAGUAUUUUUAAAAUAAAUUUAAUUUUUUUGUUUCAAAUUAAUUUUUUUAAUAUUUUUAUAUUAUUUUGAUGUGUUGGUGUUAAAAAUAAUUUUUAAAAAUAAAAAUUAUUAUUUUAAUAUAUUUUUAAAUAAAAAUAUUUUUUUAAAAAAACUCAUAUUACCUAUUGGACUAUACCUAUUACACUAUGAAGUAUCUUCUAAGUCAAGCCGUCUAAUUUUAAAUAUGGAAAUGUCAGUAUAUUUUUUCCUUGAAAAAUCUCAUUAAAAAAUCCCCAAACUGUGAGGUUAAUUUCACUUAGGUCCUGGUGUCUUUAUAAUUUCAAGAAAUAUCAUGGCAAGUUAAUUUUAAGAAAUUGUAUGGCAAAUAAAGUGGAUGUGUGACCUUGACUUGAUAGGCAUCUUUUCAAGUCAGCCAGGUUCCACCUUCACGGUCUAAUCCUGCGGGGCCCACUUGUGGAAUUUACAUGCACCUGCCGUGUGGGAGAGGUUUGUGUACGAGUAGCUGUCUGCUGAAAAUCAUACGCUGGUGAAACAGUUAACGAAUUAUCUCACGCGUGACACAAACCCCUUUGAAAUUAAAAUCAACUGUUUUAGCCCGAAGGAACACUUGUUACUUGGCCAUUGAACCUUUGCUAAUCUCUCACAAUCAACAAAAGUGAAAAGAUUCUUGAAAAAAAAUCGAGAAACAAUCUCUAGUGGGGUGCUUUUAUAGAGAAUAUGGUAGCCUGAAAGAAAGUAAUGUGAAAAAGAAAACGUUUUUCUUUUUAAAUAAAAAGUUGUCAUUUCAACUUACUUUUACUUUUCCUACUCUCAUAUUUAAUCCUUUUGUAAACGACCAAACUAAAUUCUUCUCUGCAAAAUCAAGAACUAAAUUCUUGCUGAUAUUUAGCAGUGCAACAUUCAGAAUCUCACCAGCCUGAUAAGCUAAAACCAAGCAACGAGUUCAAAGAUCUCGUUAGACUAAUAAACAAAUAGCUUCGACUGGACGGGUUUCUUACAAGAAUCAACCGAAGCAUAAAUCCGAGGUUGCCUACUCAAUUUGAAGAGACGGUUGCGUUUCACGUUCAGGGGCUCUGCUUGGUUUUAAUUAAUAAAAAUUGUAGAUGAACUAAUCGAAAUAUUAUCUUAAGCUUUUUUUUGUGAAAAAAAAACAUGUGUACAGGUAUUAAUUCUACAAAAGUAUACAGUUCAGGAACUCCGUUGAUUUUUAAUCAAUUCAUUAAAAAAAAAGAAAAAAGAAGAAGCUCCAGCCGCAAUCCAGCAAACAUGAAACAUCAACUAUACAAGGAAACAAACAGAUCCUUUCUUCUUUUAUAUAUAUAUAUAUAUAUAUAUAUAUAUAUAUAUAAUAUAUAUAUAUAUAUAUAUAUAUAUAUAUCAUUCUGAAACCAAUAAAUGAAACUGGUUAAGAAAAAAACUGAAAAAGAAACCAAUUAAUAAUGAAUAUCCUCUUGAAGAGAAGAGAAAAACAAACAAAGAAAAGAAAGAUUCGUAUGAACAGCACAACAAUUUAAGGAGGCAUGCACACACAAUUUCACAGAAAUAUAAAACAAUCCAAGGAAAUGAGAGGAUUGUCGAUGUCUUCCAUGGGAAUAGAGUCACUAUCUUGUUGAGCUAGUGCUUCUUUCACUGCAUCUUCAUCUAUCUUAGAGCUAAUACGAUGAAUGCAAGUCUCUCUAUUCCUCAGACAACAACUCAAUUAGUCUGGGUAUUUCAUUCUCACGGAUGUUUCUGUAUUAUUAAUGCUUCAAAAUUAUAAUUAAUUUCUCCAGAAAAUUUAAAUGCGUUUAAGUCUCCUCUCUUUGCGAACCUGGUAAAGAUUUUUUUGUCCCUUGCUUUGAAUUCGAUUAAUACAAGACGUAGACAAGGGAGAUAUAACCAAUUUCAAACGCGUUUCAUAAUUAGCAAGCCUAAAUCAAAGGCUUAGAAUUCGCCAUUGCAUAGAUUUCAGAAAGAGCAAACGUGGUUUUAAUUUUAUACAAUCUAUAAUCAUCACCAGCAACUAAAUUUAGCUUUUAAAAGUUCCUGCAUGGCAAAAACCUGAGGUGCCAAAAAUAAUUGCUCCACUUUCAUUCAAAUUAGUUUGAGAUAUUAUAUAUUUUUAUUAACGCAUAUAAUAUUUACUAUAAUUUACUAUAAUUAAUUAUUGAUCUUUUUUAUUCACAAUUAUACUUUUUUAAUUAUUCGAUAUUAAAAAACACGAUAAUAACACUUACACAUUAGUUCUUUUACAUUAAAAAAAAAUUAUUUGACCUCCAGCAAGUCGAGUUGAAUAAACAUAAUAAAACUUUGUUUUUUGUAUUUAUUGGCACAAAUAAUUCUUAAUAUAUAUUAAUUAAGAUAGGCUUUUUUUUAUAUUUAUAAUUAGGAUAAAAAAACAAAAUUUGAAAGCUUGCAUAUUUAAUUUGUUUUGCAAAAAAAAUUUAUCUGACUGACUUCGCGGAUAUAACUAGUAUAUACACGAGGAAUUGAGUUUUUUUUUUUAUUAACGUGGGUGUUCGGACCAGCUUGCACGCACCUCGACUAAUUCCACGGGCCCUGAAGUUAACGGCCAUGUAAACCUCCAGUGCCCAUCAUAUUAGCAACCAUAAAGUUCAAACCUGAAAUCACAGAAAGAACAAAUUCUUUAAUCCCAAACUCUUAUCACUAGUCAUUUACUAGUGGUGAGGGUACCCUUCUCUGCCUAUUUGAUUGUGAUUGCUGCUUUUGAUGAUUCCUACUGAUGGGUGUAUUUAUUAUAUCUUCGAUAUGCCUUUAAUUUGAUCCAUUAGUAAUCCCUGGACUACUGAGAUUUAAUUGGUGAUUUCAUUAGCUGAGAAAUGCAUUACUUAAAAGACAUGAAUUUUAUGGUUUGGUCAAAAUAAAAGUCCAAAUAUCUCUACUGCCUUGAUUUCUAAAUACCUCAUCAACUUCAGUAUCGAACUGAAUUUGUUAUACAGUUUUGUAGCUUAAGAUUAGAUAAAAAAAAAAUGUUCAAUAAUUUCUCAAUAGAGGUAUGAUAAUGGAUAUUCAGAAAUUGAGUUUAAGCUAUAUUCAUGCUUUAUCAAUUACUUAUUGAGUUAUGCAUCAGGAUUAAAGUAUUCAUUCCGAUAUGCAUUAUCUAAAUACUAAGAGUAAUAUAUAUACUUGAUGCAUGCAUAUUAAAGGAUAAGAUUACAAAAAAGUGGAAUCAAUUUCUUUAUUAAGAACUAUCAUGAUCAACGUUAGAUUUUUUUUUAGGUUUCACCGGCAAGAAAAAUUGAAUAAUGAUUUCCAUUACGGAUUUCUUUACGGAUUUCUUUUUUUGUGGUUGUCUAAAUGUCGGGGCGACAAUAAAAAUUUCCUUCCCAGAGACAUACAAUCGAAGUCCUUGUCAAUGCGCAUGGGUAACUCAUAGAUUUUACCAGGGAAGUGAAGCUCAUGGUCGCAUCAGGCCGCGAAACGUUAUUAUGAUGAAGUUAUUAGCCCUCGUUUCUUUCUGUUUCAGGUAAUAUCUAAUGAAGAAAGACUAUGUUGGAAAAACGAGUCACUAUUGGAUUACUAACAGCUCCUAAGCUUACAUGUGUUCUCAAGAAGAAAGGAAUAUCAUAGCGUGUUGCCUGUUUAGGAUAUGCUUUUCAGUGGUCAAAUGGCAUACACCAGAAUGUUUGUCCAGCAAUUUUUUUGCUUUCAGAAGGAGAUCACCGGGAAUAUUGCAUUGCAAAAUGGAGAUAGGAUAAAGAGUUUCAAUGCGGGUUGAAUAUUGGACAUACUGUCAGAAAUUCUUCGUCUUUUAAAAUUACAGGACCACUAUAACAAAAACAGAACUGGACUGAAUUAUAGAAAAGAAAAGCAUUACCAUACAAUGCUGGCAAGCUAUUAUUCAAAGCAAACUAUCAAGCGAAGCUGUGACACUAGAAUAAAAUGUUCAUCUGCCAUCUCCUUGUGAUUGCAUUAAAUAUAAACUGUGAUAUCCAGCACUUGUACCAGCCAUUUCCUCAGAACGAACAGUUUCCACUGAUUCACCAAGCAAGUACUCUGUCUCUUCUACAUCUGAUUUGUCAUUAGUCCAAGGAUGUUUUGCAGAUGUCCUUAGCCCCUCUAAUUCCAUUGCUACAUUCUUCAUGUAGGGUCUUUCCUCUCCUUUUACUCUUAAGCACUUCUUUGCAAUGUUGGCAACUCCCUUAAGCUGCCUAAUAUUAUCCUGGUUCACCAUGCAAUCCUGAAGAAUAUGGACCAGGCGAUCUUCUUUCAGUGCACAAAGAAAAUACGAUGAUAAAUUCCUCUCCCCCUCAGGCUUAUGGAAGGAAAUUGCCUUCAUCCCAGUUAGUAGUUCCACAAGAACCACUCCAAAACUGUAAACAUCACUCUUGUCCGUCAGUUGGCUUGUGUGCAAGUACUCAGGGUCUAAGUAUCCUAGAGUACCUUGCACCAUCGUUGACAAUUCAACUUGAUCCAACGGAAUUAACCUAGAAGUGCCAAAAUCUGACACUUUCGCCGUGUAACUGUUGUCCAGGAGUAUGUUUGUAGACUUGACAUCCCUAUGAAUGAUUGGCACAGAAGCUGCGGAAUGCAAAUAUGAUAGAACACCUGCAGUUUCAGAAGCUAUCUUUAAACGGAUUUCCCAGGUGAGGGCCGACACCUUACUCUUGUCGUGAAUGUGGUCAUAGAGGGUGCCAUUUGCAACAUAUUCAUAAACUAGUAAUGGGACUUCUGUCUCCAAGCAACAUCCUAGAAGCUUCACCACAUUCCUGUGAUUGAUUUGGUAAAGAACAACCACCUCAUUGAUAAACUGCUCGAUUUGGCUAUGAUCGAUUGUUUUGGACUUCUUGAUUGCAACAGUUCUUCCAUCAGUUAAAGUUCCCUUGUAAACUGUACCAAAACCUCCUCGGCCAAGAAUUCUACUUUCAUGGUACUUGUCAGUGGCUUUCUCGAGUUCUGCAGCUGAAAAGAUUUUUGCCGUUUCUGUAACGGGUCCUUCCCUUCUUGAUAGCUGCUGCUCCAGCAUUAGACCACCAUUUUGCCUAAAGAACUUCUCUUUGAGCUUCAUUAGCUUCCAUUUACUGUAUCCCCAGUACAGCCAAGUAAUUCCCAUCAACAAAGAUGUCAGUCCCGCUCCAAUUCCUACAUGUACAAGGAUGUUGAAACAUUAAUUUGUAAUUAAUUAUGUACAUUGCAGAUAAAAUUCGUCCAAAUUGAGCAAGUAUACCCGAAUGGGGUUAAGAUCAUAGGGGAAAUUAUUGCAAUUUUUUGCUUCUGUUUAGCGAGUAAACCUUUCGAUUUAAUAAGAAAUAUUUGAAAUCAUGUAUAAAAGGUGGAGGGAAAAAAAUUUCCCAUCAAGAAGUUCCGGUUGAAAUGAUCCCGCGGCAAUAUAGAAUAAAUUAAAAACGAGUACAUUUGUAGUGGAUUUGACUUUGAAAAGUUGUGGGCUUUGAAGUUCCAGAGUUUAUAUGGAUCAAAUUAGAUUCCUCUCAGUUUUGUUUUCUGAAAUACCAAGGGCUGCAAAUUUGAGAUGAAAUAAAUCUAGAAUAGUGUCUGGAUAUUUCAAGUCACUUUUGCUCGCCAGCUACUUCAAAUUUUAUUGAUAAAAUAAAUUCUAGCCAAAGCUCUGACAUCCGGUCAAGCAUUUAUCACAAUACUUCUAAACAACUGCAUGAAUUUCAGUAUAUACUUUGAAAAUGUAAGAAUCCUGAAAAGAAAAUUAACAAAAAUCUACACUCAAUUCCUGCUACAAGAGGCCAGUAUGAGUAUUAAACUUAGGUCUCUGAUGGAGGGAACCAAGUAUUAGGAUGAACUAGAAGUAGGGACUGUGAUAUAGUUUUAAUAAUACUGCCUAUCACAGCCUCAUCUAAAUAACAAGAACUAAAAAUUGGCACAUGUAUAUAUCCUAUCCAAAUUAAAAUGAGAAAACAAAAAAACAAACAGUUACCUUUAAUGGCACAUGAAAGAUCUAUACACAAUAGUAUGUACAUGAACAUCGGGAUUGAAAAUGAAGAGG
rnacentral:lncRNA from 1 species